UUGAGGAAUAUUGGACAAUGGGCGCAAGCCUGAUCCAGCCAUGCCGCGUGCAGGAAGACGCAUCUAUGGUGUGUAAACUGCUUUUGUACGGGAAGAAACACUCCCUCGUGAGGGAGCUUGACGGUACCGUAAGAAUAAGGAUCGGCUAACUCCGUGCCAGCAGCCGCGGUAAUACGGAGGAUCCAAGCGUUAUCCGGAAUCAUUGGGUUUAAAGGGUCCGUAGGCGGUUUAAUAAGUCAGUGGUGAAAGCCCAUCGCUCAACGAUGGAACGGCCAUUGAUACUGUUAGACUUGAAUUACAAGGAAGUAACUAGAAUAUGUAGUGUAGCGGUGAAAUGCUUAGAUAUUACAUGGAAUACCAAUUGCGAAGGCAGGUUACUACUUGUGGAUUGACGCUGAUGGACGAAAGCGUGGGGAGCGAACAGGAUUAGAUACCCUGGUAGUCC
rnacentral:rRNA from 1 species